rnacentral:tRNA from 1 species
GCCGGUGCUGGCCUGGUGGGCGGUGCCCUCGCGCGUCGCCGCAGUGGACCACCGGGAGGCGGUCGACGUGUUCCGGGCACCCGUCGCCGACC